CACCAGGAACCAUCCUGGACCACCCUGGGGACACUUUGGGGACAUCAGGGACACCCUGGGGACAUCCUGGGGUCACCAGGAACCAUCCUGGACCACCCUGGGGACAUCCUGAACCACCCUGGGGACACUUUGGGGAUAUCAGGGACACCCUGGGGACACCAGGAACCAUCCUGGACCACCCUGGGGACAUCAGGGGCCAUCCUGGGGACACUUUGGGGACAUCAUGGACACCCUGGGGACAUCCAGGACCACCCUGGAGACACUUUGAGGACAUCAGGGACACCCUGGGGACAUCAGGGACCAUCCUGGGGACAUCGGGAACCACCCUGGGGACACCAGGAACCACCCUGGGGACAUCAAGGGCCAUCCUGGACCACCCUGGGGACACCAGGGACACCCUGGGGACACUUUGGGGACAUCGGGGACCAUCCUGGGGACACCAGGAACCAUCCUGGACCACCCUGGGGACACUUUGGGGACAUCAGGGACACCCUGGGGACACCAGGAACCAUCCUGGGGACAUCAAGGGCUAUCCUGGACCACCCUGGGGACACCAGGGACACCCUGGGGACACUUUGGGGACAUCGGGGACCAUCCUGGGGACACCAGGAACCAUCCUGGACCACCCUGGGGACACUUUGGGGACAUCAGGGACACCCUGGGGACAUCCUGGGGUCACCAGGAACCAUCCUGGACCACCUGGGGACAUCCUGGACCACCCUGGGGACACUUUGGGGACAUCAGGGACACCCUGGGGACACCAGGAACCAUCGGGGACCAUCCUGGGGACAUCAGGGGCCAUCCUGGGGACACUUUGGGGACAUCAUGGACACCCUGGGGACAUCCAGGACCACCCUGGAGACACUUUGAGGACAUCAGGGACACCCUGGGGACAUCAGGGACCAUCCUGGGGACAUCGGGAACCACCCUGGGGACACCAGGAACCACCCUGGGGACAUCAAGGGCCAUCCUGGACCACCCUGGGGACACCAGGGACACCCUGGGGACACUUUGGGGACAUCGGGGACCAUCCUGGGGACACCAGGAACCAUCCUGGGGGUAUCAGGGCCAUCCUGGGGACACUUUGGGGACAUCAGGGACACCCUGGGGACAUCCUGGGGACACCAGGAACCACCCUGGGGACACUUUCAGGACAUCAGGGACACCCUGGGGACACCAGGAACCAUCCUGGACCACUCUGGGGACAUUGGGGACAUCAGGGACACCCUGGGAACAUCAAGGGCCAUCCUGGACCACCCUGGGGACAUCCAGGACCACCCUGGGGACACUUUGGGGACAUCAAGGACACUCUGAGGACACCAGGAACCAUCCUGGGGGUAUCAGGGCCAUCCUGGGGACACUUUGGGGACAUCAGGGACACCCUGGGGACAUCCUGGGGACACCAGGAACCACCCUGGGGACACUUUCAGGACAUCAGGGACACCCUGGGGACACCAGGAACCAUCCUGGACCACUCUGGGGACAUUGGGGACAUCAGGGACACCCUGGGAACAUCAAGGGCCAUCCUGGACCACCCUGGGGACAUCCAGGACCACCCUGGGGACACUUUGGGGACAUCAAGGACACUCUGAGGACACCAGGAACCAUCCUGGACCACCCUGGGGACAUCAGGGGCCAUCCUGGGGACACCAGGAACCACCCUGGACCACCCUGGGGACAUUGGGGACCAUCCUGGGGACACCAGGGACACCCUGGGGACAUCAGGGACCACCCUGGGGACACCAGGAACCAUCCUGGGGACAUCAAGGGCUAUCCUGGACCACCCUGGGGACACCAGGGACACCCUGGGGACACCAAGAACCACCCUGGGGACACUUUGGGGACCAUCCUGGGGACAUCAGGGACACCCUGGGGCCAUCCUGGACCACCCUGGGGACAUCGGGGACACCCUGGGGACACUUUGGGGACAUCAGGACCACCCUGGGGACACCAGGAACCAUCCUGGACCACCCUGGGGACAUUGGGGACCAUCCUGGGGACACCAGGGACACCCUGAGGACAUCAGGACCACCCUGGUGACACCAAGAACCACCCCCGGUGACACUUUGGGGACAUCGGGGACGUUCCCACGGCUCCUGGGGGCAGCAGAAAUCCCCGAGCCGUCAGAAAGAGAGAGAAGAGAGGAAGUGACAGCGCGGGUGACAGGCGGGUGACAGGCGGGUGACAACACCGGGACAGGGGGUGACAAACACGGGACAACGGCGGGGGGGCAGAAAAUUGUCCCGGGAUGGGGGAAAAGGGCAGGAAUUUAUCCCGGGAUGGGAUAAAAGGGCAGGAAUUUAUCCCGGGAUGGGGGAAAAGGGCAGGAAUUUAUCCCGGGAUGGGUUAAAAGGGCAGGAAUUUAUCCCGGGAUGGGUAAAAAGGGCAGGAAUUUAUCCCGGGAUGGGAGAAAAGGGCAGGAAUUUAUCCCGGGAUGGGAUAAAAGGGCAGGAAUUUAUCCCGGGAUGGGAUAAAAGGGCAGGAAUUUAUCCCGGGAUGGGGCAGGAGGGGCAGGAAUU
rnacentral:lncRNA from 1 species